UACGGGGGGGGCAAGCGUUGUUCGGAAUUACUGGGCGUAAAGGGCGCGUAGGCGGCCUUCUAAGUCGAACGUGAAAUCCCCGGGCUCAACCCGGGAACUGCGUCCGAUACUGGUUGGCUCGAAUCCGGGAGAGGGAUGUGGAAUUCCAGGUGUAGCGGUGAAAUGCGUAGAUAUCUGGAGGAACACCGGUGGCGAAGGCGACAUCCUGGACCGGUAUUGACGCUGAGGCGCGAAAGCCAGGGGAGCAAACGGG
rnacentral:rRNA from 1 species